AUUAUUGUGUAUUAAAACGACGAGACUUUAGGCCCGGUCCGGUUCAUAAGUACACUGAUAAAAAACUUGCAAGGACAAAGCCGGUUUUGUGAGAAAUUUCAAGUAGAAGUUCUCUGAAAUCUUGACGGAGAUCAUGAAAACAAUGGGUCUUUCAAAGGGGAUUCUCAGGUAUCUCCCAGUUUAUUCUAAUUACUCUAUUUUCUCUUAUUCCACUCUCUCUUCUCCUGCUAAAAGCCUAGUUUCAUCAUCAAGGCCCUUUUUUGGAAAUCCAAUAAUCUGGAAUAAGUCAUGUACAUUGAUUAUCUCAUCUAGGCCUUUUUUAUCUAGUUUUGAAACACAUCCAUCUUCUCAUUCUUGGUUUUUGUGUAAUUACCAUGGCUGGAGAAGUUUAUCCUCAUUUUCCUCAAGUGGGUUAUGUUCUUCUAGUUCUAUAGUAUUCCCAUGUUCUCAAUCUUCAAAACUUUUAGGUUUUAAUAGAUUUAAUUACAGGUAUGAGGGUUAUACAAGUCAAGGUUUGAAUCUUUAUUUGUUCUCCUAUCCGGGUUAUGGCUCCUUAAGACUUUAUUCUGUGUCAUCUUCUGAUGCUUCUCUGUAUAAAAAAUUGCAUACUGAUGAACUUAGGCCAAAAGCAACUCGAAAGCAAGUCUCGGUGAUCAUUGGUCUACUGAUUACUGAAGAUAAUGAGUUGGAGACUAAGUUGAAUUCUUUGGGAGUUAGACUAUCUAUUGGUUCUGUGAGAUGGGUUUUUCAGGUUUUAAAUCGUGAGAAAAAGUCUGCAUUGCAGUUUUUUCAUUGGAUUAGACGUUGGCAGCCUGAAUUGGAAGGUAACUCUGACAUCUGUAGUUUGGUCAUUGAUAAUUGCGGUCAUUUAGAUGAUUAUAAGGCUAUGCGAUGCCUUUUGGACGGGUUUAGUUUGCAGAGAUUGUUCCUUACCAAAAAGGCAUUUGAGUACUUACAACUUACCUCUUCGAAAGAGGAGUUGUUGAAGAAAGCCACUCAGAAUGUGGUUGAUAUUCUGCAAGAAAUUGGGGGAACAUCUUAUGGAACUGGAGUUCCCUCAUUGAUUGAGAUGUUCAGUGAUUUAGGAUCCUUUGACAUGGCUAAGUUUGUGAUUGAGAAGACAGGGAGGAAGUUGUCUUACUACAAUGUGUUGAUUAGGGAGUUGUGCCGAAGAGGUGAUUUUAAAGCAGCAAGAGAUCUGAUGGAUGAGAUUGGGAAGGAAGGAUGCAAUCCAAGUGCCCAUACUUACAAUUAUAUUAUUAGUAGUUUGCUCAAGAAUGGGAAAAAUGCCGAUGCUUGUGAAGUAUUUCAGGAAAUGCAAGAUAAUGAUUGUCCUCCUGAUGCAUUAACUUUUGAAAUUUUUAUAUAUAACUCUUGUAAUGAGGGAAAACUGGAUAAUGCUUUUGAGUUUUUUGAUGAUAUGGUGGCAAGAGGUCUUGAACCUCGUUUACUAACACAUGCUGCUUUUAUCAAGGGAUUUUUCAACUCACAGCAAUAUGAGAAGGCAUACAAGUAUGUUGUGGGUUCAGAUGAUAAGUACUCUAGCAAUGUGAAUUACAGCUUGCUUGCAAAUCUCCAUCAGAAACAGGGUAAUCUGGUGGAUGCUGAAAAUAUUCUUUCUGAAAUGAUUAAGAAGGGCCUUAGACCACAUUUUAAUGUGUUUAUGAAAGUCAAAAAGCAUCUCAUGAAGUCUGGCAAUGAGGAAUUAGCAACAAGUUUACAGAAGAAGUUUCUCCAGCUUGAAGUUAGAGCUUAGAGCAGGUCUCACCCUUCCAGCUAAAGCUUCCUAAAGGGAAAAAUGAAACAAGGAAAAUGGGGUGGAAAGAGAUGAGUUGAUCUUUUCCUUUUUGAAUUAAGAUGAAUCCAUGACUUGUUCUGAAGUGUACGACGCUGAGGAUGUCAACAGGCAUGUGAUUGGGUAACUGAGGAUGAUGCAGUGUGGAAUAAACAAGAAUUGGUCAGAUGGACAGAGGAUGAGUUGAAAGUUGAACAAUUGAACAGCUCCUUGAGAAUAAAGCAUCUGGUUUUUAUCAUUUCGCAAGUUUCUCAAAUACAACCUUGGUGGUUUUCUUUACAACAAUGUUCAUUCACUUGCAAGAAAGAAAAAGAACAAGAAAAUGAAAGGCUGCUUGAUUGCACUAUGUUGUUUUGACAGCUGAGAGGAUAAUUUAAGCUGCAGAGAUGAGUGGCAAGAGCACUGCAGCAUUAUUGAACUGUGCAGGCAGAAAGCUUCUGACAUGGAUGCGACAGUUUGGCCAUUGUCAAAUGCUGCAAUAUGAACCUCAACUCAAGUCAUUGUUUUCCAACAACUAACAGCAGCUGCAAAAGCUUGCAGAAUUGGCUCCUUUUCAUUGGGUGUUCCGGAUGAACAGAAGUACUGGGUUCCUGUUCAUUGUCAAGCUCAGAAUAGGCAAUUCUUUCCAAGCUUUCACUGAUAUGCGGUGUUCCUGGAAUCACAGUACAAUGAGAACCUUGGGAUAAAAUUGAGAGAUGGCUUUAUCCUUUCAGGAUUGAUGAAACUGCUUCUAGAGUGAGAAAGAGAAGAGAAAAAAGCUUGGCUUUUGAAGCACUUUUGUCUGUUAAUAAAUUUUCAAGUAAACAAACAAAUAAUUCAAUCUUCACAAUCCUUUUAUAUUGUGGUGAAUGCAGAUUGUUUCUUGUUAUAUUCCCAAAUUGUUCUCAUGUAAUACGAGGGUUAUUUCUUUUUUAUUUUUUCAA